rnacentral:rRNA from 1 species
GAUGAACGCUAGCGGCAGGCCUAACACAUGCAAGUCGAGGGGCAGCACAGGUAGCAAUACUGGGUGGCGACCGGCGGAUGGGUGCGUAACGCGUAUGCAACCUACCAUUGAUUGGGGCAUAGCCCGAAGAAAUUCGGAUUAAUACUCCAUAAUAUUCAUCAAAGGCAUCUUUUAUGAAUUAAAGCUUUUGCGAUCAAUGAUGGGCAUGCGUGACAUUAGUUAGUUGGUGAGGUAACGGCUCACCAAAACGAUGAUGUCUAGGGGUUCUGAGAGGAUUAUCCCCCACACUGGUACUGAGACACGGACCAGACUCCUACGGGAGGCAGCAGUGAGGAAUAUUGGUCAAUGGACGCAAGCCUGAACCAGCCAUCCCGCGUGCAGGAAGACGGCCCUAUGGGUUGUAAACUGCUUUUCCAGGGAGAGAAACUUACGCACGUGUUGCGUGACUGACGGUACCCUGGGAAUAGCAUCGGCUAACUCCGUG